GUUGUUCUGUGAAGAUCAAAUUUUGAUAAAAAGGUAAGAGCAACAAUGACUACAAUUAUAGUCACACAAGUAUCAUUACUUUUUCUACCUGUAAAGGUUUUGUAAUAAAAGAUUUGCGCAGUUGUUGAAAAAACAAAGAUGUCACUUGGUGAGGUUCAUCUUCACCUGAAUCGUCCGCCAUGUUUGUUUAUGAAAUAUAUUUUACCUGCGGAGGAGAUUUUGAAUGUUACAAAACAAAAUUCGCACUCAUUAAAGUGAUUUGUUUGUUCAAACUUAUCCCCAGGGUUUUUUUCCCUUUGACAUGUUGUUAGUCACGAAUUAUGCCUACCCGUCUUCCUUUAAGCAUCAAAAUCCACAACGAAAACCUUUCAUCAUCAAGAAAGCGCUUUCACACCGCUUGUGAUGGGUACAAAUGGUGGUAUGGGAAAAGAAUGUUACGUUUUUCGUCAAGAACUUAAAAAAAAACUCUCCACAAAACAAAGACUACCCAACAGUGAUUACAUGGGUCGGAAAAAAACUGUCCUUCGAAAUUUUGAAGUCAACAAUUUUAUGCGCAAGAGGUUCGAGAGUGCCAUUGAAAAUACCAAACAAAACAGACGUUGGUGUAGAUAUCAUGUUAAAUUCUUUUGAAGAAACUAUGUUUUGAGAUUUGAUAUAAUUUUGACACAAGUGUAUGGGUAGAGUGGUAAUCUCUCCCCCAUACUCAUCGUCUUGGCCUAUUCGAUUUUUUUUUAUCUUGUUUAGGAUUUUGUUCUGUUUUCCUUUGUUUGUUUGUUAUUGUUUUUAACUUUUUCUUCUUGAAGUUUUUAAGUACACUUUACACAAUUAAUUUCUAAGCAAGCAAAACAAACAAAAACAAAAGGAAGCCUGAGACCGAGGUUGACUAUCACUAGUAAAGUAAGUAAUAAUGUUUGUAGACUGGUUUAGGAAAUGUAAAAGAACGCCUGCAUAAUUAUAA